UUAAUUGUCCUGUCUGGGUAUCGCCAAACAGCGCAACCACGUGCUUCGGCACCUGCACCCAGCACAGGUUCGCAACCGACGUCGGCGCCCACACUAACAACUCCAAGUAGCGUCGCGGCUGACCCCUCUGUUGCCGGCAGCUCCGCGGUCGCUACCUCCGUACCUGACCAGAGGGCGCCCGUUUCACCAGCACCAGCUACGCCGCCCUCCGGUUACAGCACGCCUCUUGCCUCCAUGAAUGACCCAAGCAGGCCUGUUCCCACAACGUACGGUUAUGCGAGGUCUCCGGCAUCAAGCUCUUUCGGGCCUGGUACUUACGCCGUGACUGCAGGGGCACCACUUCCUCACGCUCCUGCUGCUGAUUCCCACGUCCCCGCUUCCUCGGCGCCUACUGUUUUCUCCGCAAGUCGUACCACUUCACUUGACUAUGGAGCUACUCGAGCCCCAGGGUACCCUCCAAGCGUUCAUGCACCCAGGGCGGAUGGUGGCUCCACGUCCUAUCGGCCUGGUUAACAGGCGUAUGGUUCCUACGCGCUUGGGUCUGCCGCGCCUGGUACAUCUGCGCCUGAUGUCGCCGUACCUGAAGGCUUCAUUCCCGACUCCUACGUACCUGCUCCCUCGGUGCCUAAAGACCCUCCACCUGAUUCGGCUGUGCCUAGUUCGACCGUUCCUGACUCUGCUGUGCCUGGCUCUGCAGCGCCCGUCAUCGGCGCGCCACUUUCUGAACAAGGAGCAGCACAGAUACCACCGGCUCCAGGCAGGCCCAACUGUACUCCUGGUCUUGAAUACUUGGCACUCAUCGAACAUAUUGUCAUACAGCAAAAAGUUGAACUUAUGGAAGAUUCGGGAUUCUGCACCAGGUGCUGCUGCGGCCCCCGGCGGUGCCUCGAGAUCGACGUGCUGGACUUCACGAACACCGCUGUGAUUCACAUUGUGCGACCCCUUCGAUGCGUGCACUGCUGCUGGUUCUGCUGCCUGCAGGUGCGCACUACGAACGGUGUCGCCAUAGGCGCAGUCACUAAGGAGUGGGGUGGACUCGUCAAGGAGUACUUUACAGACACCGACACCUUCAAUGUGAGCUUUCCCCUCGACCUGGAUGUUAACAUGAAGGCUGCACUCAUGGCUGCAGCCCUGCUCAUAGUAAGAUAUUAUAUUUUUUAUUGGUUGCUUACGUGAGUGAGCCUGUACGUACUACUUUAGUGAUGAACUCUCCUUUCUUUCUUUUUUUUGUCCAUUGCUGUUUUCUUCUCUUACUUUUUUUUUUACGCAGUGGGCAAAUUAAACACUACUGGGGAUAUAAAAAUAUCAAGAGCAAAAAAAAAAAAAAAGACAGUCGUACAUCGGUUAGGAGACGUACUAUGGUGUGCUUCAUUUGUUUUUCUCCACAUCGUUGUUGAUCUAUGUCUUUUACCUCCUGAAAGGGCCUCUGUAGGGCUUGCAGUACCCUCUAAAUAAAUAAGUAACUUCCAGAUCGCGACAUGCUGUUUCUUUUUCUGGAGGAAAACAAUCCGACGCCUUGCAUUAAAUUCUAUCGACAAACAUUUUGCAUUUCUCGAGUUUGUGUACGGAUUUGCGUCGUCCUGAUAUGUUGCUCCGAAACGAUAGGUCGAGCUUUUAAAGCUGAAAAGAAGCUCCCUAAAGGA